UAACAGUAUCUAACCUAGGAAGAAAGU
rnacentral:piRNA from 1 species